ACUCCCUACGGGAGGCAGCAGUGGGGAAUAAUUGCACAAUGGGCGCAAGCCUGAUGCAGCCAUGCCGCGUGUGUGAAGAAGGCCUUCGGGAUUGUAAAAGCACUUUCAGUAGGGAGGAAGGUAGUGUAGUUAACACCUGCAUUAUUUGACGUACCUACAGAAGAAGCACCGGCUAACUCCGUGCCAGCAGCCGCGGUAAUACGGAGGGUGCGAGCGUUAAUCGGAAUUACUGGGCGUAAAGCGCAUGCAGGCGGCCUGUUAAGUCAGAUGUGAAAGCCCGGGGCUUAACCUCGGAAUUGCAUUUGAAACUGGCAGGCUAGAGUCUUGUAGAGGGGGGUAGAA
rnacentral:rRNA from 1 species